rnacentral:rRNA from 1 species
AUGGGUCGUACCAAUGUCAAUCCUAUUUGGGGAAAGAUUUGGAAAUUAUCGUGUCCGGCAAAGGUAAAAAUAUUUAUCUGGCGAACGUUGCAUGGAACUCUACCGUGUCGUGUUACACUUGCCAAUAGACAUAUGAAAGUUUCGCCCCUUUGUCCAUCAUGCUCAAAUGGGCAAGAAGAUACAAAACACAUCUUGUUUUUGUGUGAGAAGGCAAAAGAGGUUUGGGGUAAGCUGGGGAUGUACGAGGUAAUUAAGAAAGCUUGUGUUAUUGAUCGUGCGGGUGAGGCGGUUCUUGAAUUCUUACUUCUUAUGCCGCAUCAAGAACUAUCUAUAUUAGGAUGCCAGAAUGCAAGUGAAUUAAUCGCGGUAACCGCUUGGUAUUUAUGGUGGGAGAGACACAUGGUUCAUGAAGGGAAGUCUCAAGAUGUGAACCAUAUUUCGAUGGGGGUUCGUGCUAUAACGACAAACUAUGUGAAUGCCCACUCCCCUAGUGCGUCUAGUAGAAAAGAAGGAUGGAGCCGACCUCCUAUGGGUUUUGUUAAACUAAAUGUUGAUGCUUUUUUUGACCAUGAUCUGCUCAGGGGCACGGUAGGUGCUAUACUCAGAGAUGACAAAGGAAAAUUCAUUGUUGGCGAAAAUGGGAAGAUCGAUUGGUGUGCUGAUGUACUAACAACAGAAGCGAUGGCUCUGAGGUUUGGUUUAAUUCUUGCACAAAAGGCGGGAUGCAAUCGUCUUAUUAUUAACUCUGAUAAUAUGGAAGUCAUUGACAUAAUGAAAAAUGGAGGACAAUCGACGGGAGUUGCAGCGGCAGUUUUCGAGGAUUGCUACUUCAUGGCAUGUGAUUUUCCGUUGACUAGAUUUGAACAUUGUGAUAGAAUAGCUAAUAAGGUUGCUCAUGAACUUGCUAGGCUAGCGAAAAUUUUUGUAACUAGAGAUUGGUUUGAGAAGCCUAUGGAGAAUAUUGUACCUCUUUUUAUAGACGAUGUAACCAUUAUUUCCAAUCAAUAA